UACGUAGGGUGCAAGCGUUGUCCGGAAUUAUUGGGCGUAAAGAGCUCGUAGGCGGUCUGUCGCGUCGGCUGUGAAAACCCGGAGCUCAACUGGGCCUGCAGUCGAUACGGGCAGACUGGAGUUCGGCAGGGGAGACUGGAAUUCCUGGUGUAGCGGUGAAAUGCGCAGAUAUCUGGAAGAACACCAAAGGCGAAGGCAAUGUUCUGGCUCGUUUCUGACGCUCAGGUGCGAAAGCCAGGGGAGCGAACGGG
rnacentral:rRNA from 1 species